rnacentral:rRNA from 1 species
AUGAUUGCCCAACAUAACGAGUUAAUGAAAAGACAUGCACAAAGUAUGGUUGAUUGGGGGAAAUCUGUGCAGACUACAGUGGAGAGUAGCCUUGGUGGUGUGCACAAGUUUCUAAUGACCAUCGCAUCCCUUCAAGGAAUUCCAGGGCCUGAGAUUCCAUGCAUUGUUAUACCCCCACCUCCAGCUUUUCCAACUUUAACCACUUCGUCUCCGAUCUUUUCUCCAGAAAUGCCCUCCACCGGCGAAUCAACAAAUGAUGCUGAAAAUAUAGAUAAUACAUUGCAUGGAGCGGAAGAUGGAAUGUUUGGCGGCUUCUUUGAUGCAAAUGGUAAUGAUGCGAAUGGUGUUGUUGCUGGAACUUUCCCCCCACCUGGUGAUGAUUUACCUACAUUUUGA